UGGCUCUGCAGGUUUCUUGGUGGUACAAACAAAUAUGGCAGUGCUGUAGAUAACCUGGAGCUGUGACUGAAAUACAAUGUGGAUGGAGGACCGAAACUUAUUGGCCAUGAUCAUGAGGUGUGGUUUAAUUUGUGUAUGAUGCUGAAAGUGGCAUAACGUGUUGUUUGGAUAUGAUUUACCAAUGUGUAGGAAUGCUGCAGGUUUACAGGGACUGAAAUGGUUUUAUCUGUUCGGUUUUGGUGAUUUUCUGAAUAGUUAUGGAUUCG